rnacentral:rRNA from 1 species
GUGCCAGCCGCCGCGGUAAUACGGAGGGUGCAAGCGUUAAUCGGAAUUACUGGGCGUAAAGCGCGUGUAGGCGGCGUGAUAAGCCGGUUGUGAAAGCCCCGGGCUCAACCUGGGAACGGCAUCCGUAACUGUCAGGCUAGAGUGCAGGAGAGGAAGGUAGAAUUCCCGGUGUAGCGGUGAAAUGCGUAGAGAUCGGGAGGAAUACCAGUGGCGAAAGCGGGCAACUGGACGGGUACUGACGCUCAGGCACGAAAGCGAGGGGAGCAAACAGGAUUAGAAACCCCUGUAGUCC